GAGGAACGCUGGCGGCGUGCCUAAUACAUGCCAGUCGAGCGAACAGACGAGGAGCUUGCUCCUCUGACGUUAGCGGCGGACGGGUGAGUAACACGUGGAUAACCUACCUAUAGGACUGGGAUAACUUCGGGAAACCGGAGCUAAUACCGGAUAAUAUAUUGAACCGCGUGGUUCAAUAGUGAAAGACGGUUUUGCUGUCACUUAUAGAUGGAUCCGCGCCGCAUUAGCUAGUUGGUAAGGUAACGGCUUACCAAGGCAACGAUGCGUAGCCGACCUGAGAGGGUGAUCGGCCACACUGGAACUGAGACACGGUCCAGACUCCUACGGGAGGCAGCAGUAGGGAAUCUUCCGCAAUGGGCGAAAGCCCGACGGAGCAACGCCGCGUGAGUGAUGAAGGUCUUCGGAUCGUAAAACUCUGUUAUUAGGGAAGAACAAAUGUGUAAGUAACUAUGCACGUCUUGACGGUACCUAAUCAGAAAGCCACGGCUAACUACGUG
rnacentral:rRNA from 1 species